GUAAGGACUGAAAGAGAGUUGAAAACCAUUAGCACAUUAGGGAUUACUCAAACGACGUCGUCUUGAAUCCUUGUACAUCGUCUUCUACCAAAAGAAAACAGAGAGGGUCUGGUUCGCUGGAUGAUUUCCAGACCUUUCUACGCUCUUUCCCUCGCACAAAUCGAACCAACAACGACCCAGACCCUUAGUUUUGAUCAGCCUCUACAAGAUCAGAUGGUAAUGGAUGGUUUAUCUCAUCUGCAUUGCUCUCGAGAAAUCCAUAAAGACAUCAUCCCAUUAGUGUUUCUUCAAAACCAGUUGAAGAAACCACCUUUCACCCUCUUUAAUACCUUCACACCUCAGUCCCAAGAGUACCAGCUGGAAUCGUCAAGGUCCAAGUCAUUCUUGCAUUAAACUUCACUAUCAUUCUCCAUUGAUCUGAAGGUAUAAUCCUUUCAAAUCCUCCUGGGUAUAGUGCAUAGUGGCAUACUACUCUUUUAAAUUUCUGCUUGAAUAAGUAUGUGAUGUUGAUUUGAUCUUGAGUUUUUGACCCGUUAUUAUGCCUUAGAUGGUUAUUUGAAUAUGUGUUUUCAAUGGCUAUACAGUAUAAUACCUUGUGUGUUUAGAGGAUUUCUAAAUGUCAAAGAUAUGGGUAGUCCAUAGUGGCAUGCUGCGGUCUUGUUCUUGGGAAACUGUUCAUAAUGUCUGCAUGUUUCUAAUGGGAAUGACUCCAAAUGGAAGGAUAGAAUAAGGCUAAUCAAGCGUUCAGAUGUUUAUCUUGCAUUUUCUGAAGUAUGAAUGUUUUGGAAGACCAUUUUGAAUAAUGAUCUGAAAUUUUGUAUCCAAUGUGGACAUGUCCUUGUCGAGUUGGUUUAAAAGUUUUAUUUAAAUUUCAUCAAGAAUGUUUGAUUUAAUCUUCAAAACAUUAAAGUUUCUUUUACAUUUUGUUUAUGGGUUAAGUUGAGUCACAUAAAAUCUGCAUUAUCCGUAUUCAGUUCUCAUUAAGGAUAAGAAUAAGAAUAUGGAAAUCUAUUAACGUUUCGAUUUUUUGUCAAAAUUUAGAGUAAUGUGACCAUUAAAGGAAAUGCAGAGAAUUUUUUGUCAAAUUUCUGUCAUAUAAAAUUUAUUUAUCGAAACCCAUCUUCUUACUGCCCGUAUUCCGAGACAACAAAGUAGUCAAGAUAUUGAGCCUACAACGUUGAAAUCUUCAGGCUCUUGAAAGACAAUUACAUUAAAAAGAACUGCUAGUUUUAAGGGGGGAGAAUUGGAAAGAAUGAUGCCAAUCACUGGCUCUCCUUGGGAGAAAGAGAUGGUUGCCUCUACUAAGACAGAUAGAAUUGACAACAAAGAGAUGGAUAAUGAAUCCCUAAACGCAGAUGAUCAUAGCGUAGAGACGAUACGGAAAUUGGGAAUUUUUUAUCCCAUCGUCCCAAACACCAAGCUGCGGUGAGAUUGCUGAGAGUUUACAGAAGCUACCCAACGAGGAGAAUACUUGCAGAUUGGGAAGUUCUUGUUGAGCAGAGAUGGUGGAAACUUUUAGACUUCGUUGAACUCCAAUGGAUUUCUAUUUCAUUCUUUGAUAUGAAGAAACAUGAAGCUGCCAUUUCUAAAUGGUCAAGAGCCAAAAGGAGAGCUGGAUGAGUUGGAAAAGGCUUGUCAGUUGAUGAAAAUGCCCAAAAACUUAUUGAUAAGCACUGGCUUGAAGCGGACAGUAGACUGUCAAAUUUAUAGGGUUUCUGCAGUUAUGACUUGUUGCUCUUUAUUCACUCUUAGAGCCUGGUUGUUAGUGCGAGCACUAAAAGCUUCAAUUUGAAUCUUUAAUGCUUUUAGUGUGGUGCACCGCCCAGUCCACCACACUUGCAAACAGGGUUAAAUCUCGCUUUGUGGCCAUCCGCUCCCCUCGCGAAUAAAGGAGAUGGAGCAGCUCCUCUUCUUGCUCCCAGCUUUCCCGAUGAGAUCAGGUUUCCUGAAACUUACUAAUUCUGUAUCUGUUAUGUCUUUUGCUUAAAACAGAUCGAUCCACGACAUCGAUAUGGGCAUAACCUACAUUCCUAUUUUGAGAGAUGGCUUGAUUCUAUAAGCAGACAGCCCUAUUUAUACUGGCAAGUUUCUUGGAUCCUUAUUGCUGGACUUUCAAUUUUAGACAUGAUCAAGAUUUCGAAGCUGAACUUUCAUAUGCAUGCUUGGUUUGGAACUGAAGGCUAGAUAUAGGAGAAGGCAAGGAAGUAAAUCUUGAAGAAUGCCCUAGAUCAAAAUUUCAAAAGCAGUGCAUCAAGUAUCUUGGUCCAAUGGAAAGGAAGGCCUCUGAAGGUUGUUAUAGAGGAUGGGAAGCAUCUCUAUAAGGAGAGCUAAGUGGAUUUUUGUCCUCAGCACAUCGAAGUUGAUUAUUUUUUUGUCGUCGCACUUCAAAAAGAAUUAAUAAACAUAAUUUCAUAACCUCAGCACAUCAAAGUUGAUUCUUUUUA